CUGUUCUUCUUCAACGCUCAUCAUUCUCUCGCCAACCCUGUUUCCGAACAGGAGCCCGUGGAGAGAUCGAGACAGAGAGGAUGAGAGAGAGAGAGAGAGAGAGGGGAGAGAGAGAGAGAGAGAGAGAGAGAGAGAGAGAGAGAGAGAGAGAGAGAGAGAGAAUGAGAGAGAGAGAGAGAGAGAGAGCAAGUGAGUGAGAGAGAGGAGAGAGAGGGGGGAGAGAGAGAGAGGGUGUGUGUGUGUGUGUGUGAGAGAGAGAGAGAGAGAGACAGCAAAAAAGGGCGAUAAGGCUCCCUAAGAACAAGCGCACCUCCCCCUCCAGGAGAAGGAGAGCGAACGGCAGACAACUCACACACAUCGCAGGCUGGUUUGGAAUGUAGGAACCGUCAGCUCAAGACUUGCUGAAGGAAACUUGGAAGAACUGGAGGGGUGCCAAGUCAUGAACAUUAAUCAAAAAUACAAAUGACAUCGCUCAUCAUUACAUCAGCAGUUCCUUCGAUUAAGAAAACAUAUAAGCCUUCAAAUCCUCUCUCUGAAGACCGCAAUUUCUUUUGUCUUCCCAAUGAGGCAGUACUUCUGAAGAUGUAAACCUGCCACAGAGCACCAUGCUGGAAGACGAGUGGGAUGCCCACAUGAAUGGCCAGCUGGAAGCCAUUUUGUGAGAGAAAGAGGGAGAGAGAGCUCUUUGCUUUGCAGCCAUCUUGAGUUUGGGUGGCUGCAGUUUCUAAAAUGGAUGUAACGCCACUCACUGUGGCAUAAGAUUUCCCAUUGGAAUGCCACCCAAGCGUCGUGAUCCCAGAUUUAAGAAGAAUCCUAAUUACGCAGUUCACAUGAAUGUAAUAUGUGCAUUGCACUAGCCUAAGUCUUGGACAGAAGAUGGAAGACUUGGAAGCCUGGAGAAAAUUGGAAAAUGUUGCGAGCCUUUACAUUUUAGGUUCCUUGGUCGGCGAAAUAACAUUUGAUGGAGACCUGAAGCCGGUUAUAUCGGCCUCUUGACCAUUGCAACUUUUUUAGGGAAGAACCUUCGUUUUUACUAUGUACUGUGUUGUUACUGAAUCCAGUAAUUUUCCUUCGCUGCUCUUCCCGCAUAGGGAUGAACUGAGAUCAAAUUUACAGUCUCGUAGAGAUUAGUGUGUAUGUGUGUGUGUGGGGGGGGGGGGGGGCCCUAAUUUGGGAAAUAGUUAGGUAAUACACUUUCAGCAAAAGACACAAGAAAAAAAGGAAAUGACUUCCGGGCAAAAAUCAACGUCAAAAGAAAAUAUUCCUGAUAUAUUCAGUAAGCCAAAUUGCUCUAAUAAGCGACUUUUAAAGAGUUGAUUUUGUUUUAAUAAGAGAGAGUCGUCUUUAACCUGUACUAAAUUUGUGUAAGUGGUUAGAAAUUGCGAAUGGAAUUUUCUCCUGGUCUUCAGGUGGAUUCGGCUGUUAAUUUGCUCGAUAGUUCAUUUCCCCGAUGUAAAAUUUAAUUCUGGAGCGCAAAGAGCGGUUCUGAUACAAAGAGUGCCCAAAUUUGUGUCCAAUUUAACUGAGAAAGCCUCCUCUCCACCCACCCCUAUUGAUUUAUAUUUUCACCCCCGCUUAACCUGUCACGAACUAAGGCAAUUUUAAAAUGUGCUCUUUAGAAAAUUAUUUUAAAACUUUCCUUGUUAUUUUAAGAGCAACUUGGUAUCAUUUGAUUAAUGUAGGUGAAAUGGCUUUAAAGUAAGCAUUUUAAAUCAGUGACACUCCGCCAUCUGUGAAAUUACAGAACGAAAUUACAGAUAAUGACAUUGUAAAAAUAUAUAAACCCAUUUCUUCGUUACGUUAAGAUACAGUAAUCAUCUCCUUAUUUUCUCUCUGUUAAAAAUGUUCAAACAUGAUUAUUAGCGUAGCACCCAAAAGAUCCAGUUAAUUUCGGAACCACCUGGAAAGGUUACAAUUGAGAAAAAAUAACUGAAACUCUCUAUGGAGUGAAUUCACUCUCGGGGUAUGACGAGCGUGUGGGUGGAGGAGGAGCUGGCUUGUUUUUAAGAACUUGCCAAACUAAACGUAAUUCAUGCUUCAUAAUUCACGAUGUAUCGCGUCAUUUACGUUGAUGUUGGGAGGGUUUCAUCGAAGGGACCGUCAAAUAAAGUCAGCAUGGUGUUGUCACAGACAACAAUAAAGCAAUAAAAUUAUAAUCACGCAGAAUAGGCUGGUUGUGGGGUGGGGUGGGGGCCAGCAUCACUCUGCAUACCCCCUCCCUAAGUGCUCCGACCUGCUUUCCCAUACCCCCAAAAUUCACUAAUCUAGAAGUGCGGGUGCAGUGGAUUCAAAUAACUUUAAGGAAUAUGAACACCCAUGAACUGUGAGGGCACCUCCAUUGGCUAUACUUGGCAACGUGUAUAGUUCUAGUUCUAUUUACAUGUCGACCUUUAGCACAGCGAAUGAGUUUAAAAUCUGGGAUCACUCUGGGUUUGUGUAGCUGGGUGAUGAAUAAAAGUUGAGCAAGAACUAAAUAUUAAGUGGUUGCUAAUAGACUGCUUUUGAAACCCGUGUAGGUCACAUUCUUCUAAAGAAAGACUAGUUUACUGUCUGUACGGAGUUUGCACCUUCUCCCCGUGACUUCGUGUGUUUUCUCCCACAGUCCAACGACGUACCGGUUGGUAGGUUAAUUGGCCAUUGUAAAUUGUCCUGUGAUUUAGGCUAGGGUUAAAUUGGGGGUUGCUUGGCGGCAUGGCGCGAAGGUGCGGAAGGGCCUUUUCCAUAUUGUAUCGCAAUAAAACAAACAAACAAAUAAAUAAAUAAAUAUCGUUUUGGGUAUAAAGAGUGUGGAGUCGAAGCGUCGACUACCUAUAUCCUGCUUGACCCGUUUCUCCAACAGUUCAGUUUUGCUUUCUAUUGUCUACAGUCUCUUUUACCUCUGUUGUUCAUAAUCAAACCCGGUUUUUAAUACGCAAAUAAAGUAUAAGUUAAGAGGCUACUAUAAUUAGGGUACUAUUAGAAAUGAGAAUAUAUAUGUAACUCUUACAAUUAAACUUGUGUGCUACUGACGCCGAAAAAUAAUUUAUUUUUCCCUCAAUUUAUGGUUUCAUGUCAUACCUCCUAACUCUAAAAUAUACUUAAUUCUUUCACGUGUUUGCAGUAGGUAAGCUACUAAUUUCAUGAUGUAAGUGACAAAGCGGUGUGUGAACCGCUGUGCAGAAACUGUUACGUUAAAAUAAUGUGAAGAUUUUCUGACGAACUGUAAGUGACAUUUUAUAGCGUGUGCAUAUUUUGCUGAAAAUACUUCACACGCUGGAAGAAGGCGGUGUUUUUUUUCAUGCAAGUAAGAGUAUUUGAAGCUUUAAUUAGAACUGUUUGCUAUUUGAUGUUGGUCUCGUGCUGGAACCGAACUAUUCAAAGACCCAUUCGGGGUUUUGAUGGGUUUUCAGAAAAAUAGUCCAAAAUUUCAUCAAUUUUUAAAGAACGUGUGCAUAUUAGAUUUAAUAAAUACGUAUAUUUAUCAUGUUUAAUAUGGUUAAAUACUUGAGCGUUUUUUAUAAUUUCAAAAUAAAUUCAUUCUUCUG